rnacentral:rRNA from 1 species
CCUACGGGAGGCAGCAGUGGGGAAUUUUGCGCAAUGGGGGCAACCCUGACGCAGCAACGCCGCGUGAGUGAUGAAGGCCUUCGGGUCGUAAAGCUCUGUCAGAGGGGAAGAAAUGCAGGUGGUGAACAACCAUUCUGUUUGACGGUACCCUCAAAGGAAGUACCGGCUAACUCCGUGCCAGCAGCCGCGGUAAUACGGAGGGUGCGAGCGUUGUUCGGAAUUAUUGGGCGUAAAGCGCGUGUAGGCGGUUUGUUAAGUCUGAGGGGAAAGCCCCGGGCUCAACCGGGGAAGUGCAUUGGAUACGGGCAGACUUGAGUACGGGAGAGGAGAGGGAAAUUCCCAGUGUAGGAGUGAAAUCCGUAGAUAUUGGGAGGAACACCGGUGGCGAGGGCGGCUCUCGGGGCCGAUACUGACGCUGAGACGCGAAAGCGUGGGGAGCAAACAGGAUUAGAUCCCCUUGUAGU